rnacentral:misc_RNA from 1 species
AAGUCGUAACAAGGUUUCCGUAGGUGAACCUGCGGAAGGAUCAUUACCAAAUCCAAAAAAACUUUAUCAACACCCCAAUGUGAACUAUGAAUGGUUUCGUUCCCUCGAACAGAUUUCGGGAUCUUGCUAAAAACAAGUUCCGAGCUGCGAGAGGGAAUGUUAUAAUUUUCAACCCCUUUACAACUAUACAACUAUUAUUUAUGCUGAAAGCAAAAACAAACGAAACAUGAGACAACUUUUAACGGUGGAUCUCUUGGCUCGU